UACGUAGGGUGCAAGCGUUGUCCGGAAUUAUUGGGCGUAAUGAGCUCGUAGGCGGUCUGUUGCGUCCGCUGUGAAAACUCGGGGCUUAACCCCGAGCCUGCAGUGGAUACGGGCAGACUAGAGGUAGGUAGGGGAGAAUGGAAUUCCCGGUGUAGCGGUGAAAUGCGCAGAUAUCAGGAGGAACACCAAUGGCGAAGGCAGCACUCUGGGACGUGACUGACGCUGAGACGCGAAAGCGUGGGGAGCAAACAGG
rnacentral:rRNA from 1 species